rnacentral:lncRNA from 1 species
AGGAUCUUUCUGGUUUGUAGAGCGAGGGUGAAGGGCCAGGAUAUCUCUAUGCUGUUUGUAGAGCUGAGGUGAAGGGCCAGGAUAUCUCUGUUUGACGGUUAGAAGACCAUUAUUUGUUUAGGACAGGAGGGUGAUGUUUUCUCCUGUCUCGCUGAUGCCUGCUGCUGGCGUUGAUCUUUCAUUAUAGUCUACUACUGCUGGCGUUGAUCUUUCAUUAUAGUCUACUACUGUUGUCUGUGGUUCUUAUAGGCCCCUGCUGUUGUCUGUGGUUCAUAUAGUCUACUGCUGUUGUCUGAGGUUCAUAUAGUCUACUGCUGUUGUCUGAGGUUCAUAUAGUCUACUGCUGUUGUCUGAGGUUCGAUCUAGUCUACUUGCUGUUGUCUGA